ACCUCCUGGAAAAAUAUGGGAAAACAAGUUUUUGGUUUAAAGCGGGUAUUCGUACCAUGGCACCUGGGGAGAAGGGGGACAUAAAAGGGGGAUAAUGGUUGUGAUACGGGUAGAGGUUGGUGGCAGGGGUGAGGACGGGAGGGUCAUUGUGGGGAUAAUGCUACAGUGAGUGGAGUUGGACUAUAAGGACUGUCCGGGAUAGUGAUUGCAGUUGUUCUUACCAUGGCGUAUAGGGUGAAUGGGAAGAUUAUGAAGGAGGUAGAGGGUAGGGAGAUAUAGACCGGAAAACAAAAAGGCUGAUAAGGGGUAAGGUGUACGUGCUGGUGGAGAAAUAAUAAUGAGUUUAAUUCAACCUUUCGCAGUAUAGACUGGAUUACAGGGCAUAUGCUUGAAUGUCGUUAACAAUGUGUCCUAGGAGGGAUGGUGAGUUCCUAGGUACCACCUCAUGAACAGUCAAAUCGUCCACGAACUAAGCCCGCGGGGGCCACGUCCUGACCAAGUCAUUGACCAUUACACAGAAGAGAAUGGGCCCAAGCCUGGUACCCUGGGGGAUUCCCCCGUUAAGUAGUUGCCAGGAAGAUGUUUUACCAUCGAGGCAAACAGACUGCGAACGCUCUUGUAGAAAGGCUGCAACCCAGCGUAAAAGUGCCGUUUCAACAUAAAGUGAUCUUAACCUAUCUAGUAAGAUGUGAUGGUCAAUUAAAUCGAAUGCUUUUCUGAAAUCCGCGAAAAAGAGUCUAACCGAGCAAUUGCCGAGAUCAAGGGCCUCAAG